CUGCAAAACAGAUCGCUAAACUGAAAAAAUAAUAAUGGUUAUGGAAAUACAGUAGAGAGUAAUUAGGAACCAUCUAAUAUCAUGCUAAGUUGGGACAGAGUCUGUUAUUAAACAAGUCUACCAGUGACUAAUAAGAUGAAACUAGUAGCAACUACCAAUGGAGAGUAUUGUAUCCCUGACUUCAAGAGAAGCCAGUGUGGAGAAUUUAUAAUUGUAUUUUAAUUUCUCUUGAGUAAGUGCCCUGGAAACUGUUUUACUGUAUGUCAGAGGACAGUAUAGGAGAAAUCCUUGCAACAAAAACUAGUGAAAGAAACUCAAGAUCUGAAUAUCAAAUACAAAUAACUAGCAAUGCACAAUUAGGCUACAAAAACUGGCUAGUAAAUAUAUAAUCUGUUCAGGAUGGCACUGAAUACAUCAAAAAGAAAAGGAGGCCUCAAAAAUGGAAGAUGGAAAAAAAAUCUUGAAGUAUACUUUUAAUUAUGUAUUUCAGUCUUGUAUAAUACAGAUUUUUCUUUCUACUUUUAAACUUUUCCCCUAUUUCUACAAUAUAACUUUCUGCAAAAUUGAUUUUUAUUAGUCAUUGCUAGAAGUAGAAAAUUAUACUGAUAAUAAUUGAAGCUAGAUCUAGAUUUUAUGGAUUUCUAAAUGGAUGCGGCUAUCUCCAAAAAUUCACAGAAGAGAGUCAGAAACAGCACUGAUGGUGGGCUUUAUCAAUAUCACAUGGAAAGCUAAAAAGGCACAGCUUCAAUAUUCAGCUGAAUUCUAAUAUCUUGCCACCUACUUUUUCUGACAUUUCCUUGAAUGAAGUACACAUUUAUAUCAGAGGAGAAAGAUAAUUAUCUGUGUAAUGAUCACGUUGUAAUUGAAGUUUCAUUGAGCAGUCACGUUUAAUAAAUUGUGAUGUCCAGGAAUCUGACAUAGAGGCAUUGCUGAAAAAUGCAGUUUACGGAUAAAUGGUCACUGAACUACUAACACUUAAUGAUACAGCCUACAAAACCAAUGCCUAAGAAUAUUCAAACUCAAAAGCUGUCUAUGAAAAAAUACCUUUAAAUUAUCUAUCUAUCUAUAUAUCUCAUUGGUUAUCAUCCAAAGUCCAUGCCAAUUACUUUUCAAAUUCUCUCUCCCCUUGACAAGUUCAUGCUUAUAUUGCAUCACAUGCCUUAACACACUGAGAGAUUUCUUACAAUCUUUAAUUAACUCUCUAAGCAUUUUUGCAGCUCUUUUUUGUAACAGCUACAGAGAAUAAUGAUGUCAAACACUACUUCAUGCAGUAAAUCCCGAUAUUAAUGCAAGCAAAACAUAUGAAACUUCUCUCUCAAGGACAGCACUGAGUGUCAUGACAUACAUAGUUGAUGUACUCCAGAAAUUUUUUAGUUAACUAGUAACAAAUCAUAGUCAUGUAUUAAAAGCUAAAUUACUGAUUAAUUGCUACCAGAAAUAUACAUAUUUAUACAUUUUUGUUUUGAAUACUCAUGUUUAAACGGAACACUACAAUCAUGUUCUGCAGCAAAACCUUGUUCAGAGACGGGGCAGCAAGUUGCAAAUACAAGGCUACCCACAGCCUCAGUUAUUUCCGGGCUAAUUUUAAUUGAUCCUUCUGAUUUAAAGGCACCUAGAGCCCACAGUAUCUGGAGAAACUGAUAACUUCCUGAGCUCUGCAUCAGAGUAAAUGCUAGUCUUACGUCACUGAUUAUUAAUGAAUACAUCACUGUUAAGUCAGCAUUGUAUGAUCAUGUGUACACAGUGCCGUGAAGUUACAACACCACAGGAACUUGCGCUCCCCAGUUGUAGAAUACCCUGAAGAGAAAUGACACCAGGAAGAUUACAAAACGCUCCUGCAAACCUGAGGCAUACCAUCAAGACAUAGUAUGUUUCAACACAGCAUCUCACUUGUUGCAGACUCAAUAAGGGCUCCCUGACUUGCUGCGGUUGAGAAAUCAAAGAAAAAAAAAAAGAAAGAAAGAAAAGAAAAGAAAGAAAAACAGGAAGAAAAAAAGCAAACCUCUUUUCAUUCAUUAAGCGCGUCGGCCAGCUCACUCCUCUCUGCGCUGCGUGUAGUCGCUCACCUCACGUCAGUUUGUGUCCCACUGUGACAGAAGUAAAUGCUUUUCUGAAAAGAUUCUUAGCGGUGACGGAGAUGAUCGGAAGAAGGAUGAUUCUGUGAAACUGAAGGCAUUUGUCAAGGACUGCGACUUGCUGCAAGACAAAAAUGCAACAUGUUUUGUAUGGUCAUAUCGUCUACCAACUUCCAUCCACAUAUAACUUGUAUAAAUUAGAAGAAAAGGAAAAAUGUCUGUGGGAUACAGACAGUUUCCAUUUGAGCAAAAUGAAAAUUCAACACAGUGUGGUUAGAUAUAGCAUACAGAACUGCUGCAAUAAAGCACAUUCCUUCUGUACUUUGAUUUGCGAAGUAGGACAAUCUUACAUUUAGAGAACACACUGCUUUUUUACAUAUCUGAAACAUUAUAUCUCAGUAAAUUGGAUGACAUAAAUUAGAACUUACGGCGAAACUGAGCCUGCCUACUAAAUCCAAAUCACUACCCAGCACAGGAUGAUGAGAGUUUGAAGAAUGAGACCUAAAGCUGUAACGUGGUCCGCUGCUGUGUUGGAUAUUUUUCAAACUUAAUGGCAGUUUAAUGACAAUUUUCAUCGUUGAAAAAAAUUCCUCAAAUCAGGUAGCAUUUUGCUUGCCUGGGAGCAGUUGGUCUAGUAAUCCUAUUCUGUUUUUAGUGCUAUCAUGUAUACGUGGUUUAAGUUUCUGCAAGCAUGAAUAAAAAAACGUACAAGAAGGAAAA